AAUAAGUGUAGCCGUGGAUAUCCGUGCUCAACGUUUGACCGUCCGUCUUAUUUGAAAAAUUUAUGAAAAAUUUAAAAAUAUUUAGUCACGCAUAAAGUACUAUUCAUGUUUUAUCAUCUAAUAGCAAUAAAAAUACUAAUCAUAAAAAAAUUUUAAAUAAGACGAACGGUCAAACGUUGAACGUGAAUAGUGUAAAACUGCACUUAUU
rnacentral:pre_miRNA from 1 species